ACUACGGACGCCAGUCAGAAAACUGUGACUUGGGAAGUUGGGAUCACUCAGCAUCAUGGUGAUCUUCUGCAAGCCAAAGGGGAAGGGAAAUGAUGGCAGAGGAUCAACGUCCAGCUGACGAUUGGGCGAAUAUGUGCCUCGAAGGACAAUGUCAAAGCCUGAUGCGCCACCCCGGAAGUUACUACAAGUACGCGAGUGUUUAGUGCUGACUGGGGGAAGAUAGAUCAAACUCUGCCGAGCAUUCAUCAGCCUGGUCCAGUGGGAGCAAAUUGUGGAUUUGAUUUUCGACCAACCAUGAAACUGAACUAGAAGGGGAGGAAAAAAAAAAAAAAAAAAAAGAAAAAAAAAAAAAAAUCCUUGAGAUAUAAUCAAGGCGCUGAGAUGGGGCUUAAAACUCAAAUUCUACUUCGUCGUUCUGGCUGCUCGAGUCUGACAUGCCUUCAACAAUGAGUCGACACAAUGAUUCCAUCCACGAUGUGACUCUCGAUUCGCGUGAAGUCAGCUUGGCGAACAACGUUCUCGAAUGUUAGAAGCCGGCCCUGGGCCAUGGUUACAAAUCGCAGUUCUGUGGCGCUGAUGGCCAGCGCUAAUUUUAUGCCAAUCUGCGGGGGUGCGGGACAUCAGUCUGUCAGAUGCUUGGACAAAGACAAUUGGCGCUUGAGCCGAUCGACGGUCAGCUUCCAGUAUUACUGAUACAAACGACCAGAACGCCAUUCAUGAGAUCCCGAGCUUUCACAAGCAUUGUCACCACAGUGAAGAGGAUCUACUUGCGCUGAUUUGCAUGGAGAUCUGGAAAAGACGGCAGAUAAUAAGGGAAAAAAAAAAAGUCAAUUUCCAGGGUCUAUCUAGUUAUAGGUUGGAGACAAGCGAAAUUCUCAACUCAGGCCCGAGGACGAUCAUUCAAUUCAAAAGCCCAUGGCUGAAUCCAUGACAUACUGGAAAUCUCCACGGCACAAUGACAAACAAGAAAUGGCGGUGGGAUCGAAAAGUCUGAAGUCUGUUGGAUCAAGGAAUAUCGUCACUCCCCCUUUCUGCACCGGACAUAAAAAAAAAAAAAAAAUUGAACAGAGCCGGAGAACCUGGAUUUAAGAGAGGAACGCGGGGAGGAAGAGUCGGCGAUAUCGCACUUCGCUCUAUUCGCAUACACAUGCAGUAUGACAUUCUCUACAUCACGACAUUGUCGCUGCACCGUACCCCCCACGGCGAAACGGCGGAGAAGAGCCAAAACGAACAAAAAAUAAUUUGCUUCCGGACAUUUGUUUAUUGUACCCGUUAGUGUAAUAAUGUAACAGGGUAAUUAAUGUCCAAGUAGCAGGAUUUUAAGUGCCACGAAAUUGUAUGCCGCCCGUUUUGUACCUCCUAACCCCCUCCACUUCCAAUAUCUGUCAUUCUUUACUAUCCCUUUGUUCCAUUUAAAGGAAAACGAAGAAUAUGUGUGUAUAGAUAAAGGUCUAAGUUUGUGUGCAAGCUUCCCGUUUCUUUAAUACAUUUCUUUUUCUUUUGUCUCAGGUGUCUCAGGGGCUAGCCGAGGUUAUAAGCAAAUCGACGUGGUGUGAUAUUUAGAGAGGGGAAUGGGCUGGACAAACUGUUAUUAUCUACAAUUAAUUUGUCUAUCCUAAUGUGUUGACUGUACUCGGACAUGUUGAUGUAUCUUGUCUUGUCCUUCUCCCUUGAUGGUUGCUGCAUGCCCGCAAAGCAAUUAACGAGGAGUAGAGGACACAAGACCAAA
rnacentral:sRNA from 1 species